rnacentral:rRNA from 1 species
UCCGUAGGUGAACCUGCGGAGGGAUCAUUAAUGGAUGUUGGGAAUGUCGCUCAUGAAACACUGAGUGCUCCCACAACUAUUACCACACACACUUUGUGAACCUUUUCUUUUCGUGAAGGUCUUUCGGGACUGGAUCGAGAGAAACACUUGUGAUUUAAACCAGUCUAGAAUGUUUCAUUCAAUUGAAUCAAAUGUUGAAACAACUAUAAACGGUGGAUCUCUUGGCUCUCGCAUCGAUGAAGAACGCAGCGAAACGCGAAAUGUAAUGUGAAUUGCAGAAUUCAGUGAAUCAUCGAAUCUUUGAACGCACCUUGCGCUCUUGGGUUAUUCCUAAGAGCAUGCUUGUUUGAGUGUCGCGAAACUCUCAACCCCGCCCCAUCUUUAUUGAUGUGUGGUUGCUUGGGCUUGGAUCAUGAUCCUUUUGCUGUUUUCGGACAGCUGGAUUGAAAUACAACAAGCUGAAUCAAUAUACGUGCGGCUUGACCUGUCGUUGUAAGCAAACUUUCGAUGGGGACGCAUGAAAAUUGAACGAGCUUAUCAAAUUGCUCCGCUGUGUCAUCUAAGGCUUUCGGGUUUUAGUAACCAGUGCAUUCUGACCUCAAAUCAAGUAGGACUACCCGCUGAACUUAAGCAUAUCAAUAAGCGGAGGAAAAG